rnacentral:rRNA from 1 species
AGUGAACGCUGGCGGUAGGCCUAACACAUGCAAGUCGAACGGCAGCACAGUAAGAGCUUGCUCUUACGGGUGGCGAGUGGCGGACGGGUGAGGAAUACAUCGGAAUCUACUUUUUCGUGGGGGAUAACGUAGGGAAACUUACGCUAAUAUCGCAUACGACCUACGGGUGAAAGCAGGGGAUCUUCGGACCUUGCGCGAUUGAAUGAGCCGAUGUCGGAUUAGCUAGUUGGCGGGGUAAAGGCCCACCAAGGCGACGAUCCGUAGCUGGUCUGAGAGGAUGAUCAGCCACACUGGAACUGAGACACGGUCCAGACUCCUACGGGAGGCAGCAGUGGGGAAUAUUGGACAAUGGGCGCAAGCCUGAUCCAGCCAUACCGCGUGGGUGAAGAAGGCCUUCGGGUUGUAAAGCCCUUUUGUUGGGAAAGAAAAGCAGCAGGUUAAUACCCCGCUGUUCUGACGGUACCCAAAGAAUAGGCACCGGCUAACUUCGUG